rnacentral:lncRNA from 1 species
AUGGAGAUAAACCAUGGAAAGGGAUUUCAUUGUAAUACCCACGAUUGAGAUGGUUGGAGAUAAAGCCAUUAUCCAGUGAUAGUUCAUCAUGUUGAAGGAAUCCUGCUGUAUGUAUUUUAUAUAUUUUGAUAUGGAUAUGUGAUAUGCACCCUUAAUACAAUUCUAGUCUAUAACAGCUACCUAACAAUAUUUCAGAAUGAGCUUUUUCUAGUAUUCUGUGCCAUUAAAGAGUGGCCCCUUUGUACAUUAAUGAAAGCUUGUCCUUUAGAAUGAAUAGGAAGUCUAAGAAUUUGGCUAAAUACCAUCUUUCUGGAAGAGGAAAAAAUUAAUGGCAAAAUAUUAGAAAUAUAAUUGAUCAAAUGCAAUACUCAUUGUAGUCAAGAGUAAGUAAUGCAAAAAUCUGUAAUUCUCAUGAAAAACAAUAUUAAAAUUGUGUUCCCGGGAAGUUAGUAACAUUUUGACAUUUUUUCUCUAUUCUUUAAAUGGUUCAGAGCAACUAUUUAUUAAUUAGCAUUUUCUUUAAGAAAAACUAAUAUCGUUGUGGAGGAUUAACUUCACUUUGGAGUGUACUACUCCCUUAAAAGGACCAUUAAAAGGCUAUAAAAUUAAUUGUUUUCUACUAAUAAGUUAUUAUUUAGAAUCACUUAGUUUCAUCUACCAGAAAAAAAUGCUUUUUGAGUUAGAGGUUUUAUAUUAUCUCAGUCUUCUCAUCCAUGAUCAAUACUUACUCCAUUUUUGUUAUUAUAUCUGUUUCCUUCUGGUUCUCAUCUUAGCUCAAAAGAAAAAGGAUGAUUGAACAAAAUACCUUUUGAGUAGUCUCUCUGCUCCUCAAAGCACAUGUCUUCAUAAUUAUCUCAAAUUUGCAUAUUUAUUGUUAAAUAAA